rnacentral:lncRNA from 1 species
UUAUGAUGUGGGGAAUGCAGAAAUCACCGUGUGAAAAGAGUUUACCCAUUGCUGUUGAGUGGGUGAAAAUGACUAAGAAACACUCUCUGCUUUGUUUCCCACAAGAGGAGAAAAAAAAAUCUGAUGAAAAAAUAAUGAGGGAAAUGGACUAUUUUCUUUAACUUCUUUCAACCUCUCAUGUGUUGAGAACUUGAAUUACUGAGGCUGAUUCUCUUUGUGCACAGGACAAGACACAUUCUGGACAAGUUGGAGGCUGGUGGAGGAGAUUCCUUUUCUCCCAAUGCUCUUUCCUCGCCUAGCAAAGCUGGGGGCACUGAGGAGGGUGGACUAUUGUAGAUUUUAAGGUGAUCUGACCAUAUCACUGUCAUGUCAGAAUAUCAAGUUGAGUCACUUGAAUUUAAAAAGCUAUUAAUAAACAGGGCUCUAUGUUUCUCCUUCUCCUCUUAAAACACCAGUUUCUAAACACUCUGCUUUAUUUGCUCCAAUUUUGUCUUAACUACUUAUUUGUAGAAAAAUAAAUUUUACUGACCAAGCGAACUUGCUCAGUCCUACUGUUGGC